CGGUCGGCAGCGCGGUCGCUCGUGGUCAGUACCGAGUUCAAUGUCAAUAUCAGAGGAACCGCAAUUGUUGCCGCUGCAAUAGUGCAAUCGUCACACUUCGCAAUCACAGUUCUUGGAUAUUCGGCGAUAUACAUUAUAAAUAUAUAACGCAGACUUCCGUACGCGACGAUAUUUAGUUUUUUCCAGUUAUUUUCGAUUUCCGUCUCCACGUGUACCUACAUCCGUUUCGCAUCCACGGCGAGGUCGUAAUCGUUUCGCAGUCGUUAUAUCGCGGGUUUUUGGCGUUUUCCGUCGGUCAUUGUGAUAUUAUACCCACAGGAGGUACCUAUAUCUUCUACAAUAUUAUACACUCUUAUAAUCUCGUCAUCCGCGAAGCCCGACAUGUACGUGAACCCGUGGAUCAGGAAACACUCGACCAUCAGACAGGUGAUCGACAAGUUGCUGUCGAUCAACACGAACAAGACGAAGAAGUUCGACGCGAUGCUGAACAAGAAAAAGCACUCCGGAAGUAACCGAACGGCGGCGGCGACGGCGGCGGCGAGGGCGGACAAGCGACGAAAAUGUUAGCACACCGGCCGGGCGCGAGACGAAAGUCGUGCAGCGGAUUUUUAUUUUUUUUCGCGCACGGUCGAGUAGAGUAACGCGACAAGAAAAUAUGUCCGUCCGAAAAUGUUCCUACCUGUAUGUAUUAAUAUAUUAUUAUACUGUCAUCGUCCAUACCGCAAAUAUUUGGAUGAUAACCGCCACGGUUAUGAUAAACCUACGCCGGAGAGAGGCGCUACAGCUUCCGCCAAUGCCACCGCCGAAGAAUAUAUAAUAUAAUAUACCUAUAACAUAAUAUAUAUAUAAUAUACGUUUGCUAUACGUUUUGUACCCUCGUAUCGUAGUAUAACCUAUAGUAUAGUAUUAUUAUAGCUGUAUAAUAUAAUAUAUGAUGAUCAAGGCCACAAAUGAAGGCGCCGCAUCCAAUAUUAUGAAAAAUGAUAAUUAUUAUAUGUACGCCGAUUGUAAAUAUAUUUAUACAUAAUAUGCAGCACAAGUAUACUACGUCUCACACUCCGAGCACGCGAGCUGUUUGUCGGGGUCAUCCGGAUAUAAUUUAAACAAUUCAACGUCCGGAACAUAAUAUGACCACAGUGUUAUACGAUGUACCCGGAUGACAUAUUCUGCUGGUCCACUUGCCGUCAAUUUAGUCAAAACGGAUUUGGACUGCACCUAAGUAGAAUAUAAUCAUCAUCAUCAUCAUCACCACCAUAUUAUUAUUAUACCGACGACCAUGGAGACAGAUUCGCGUUCUCGAGUGACAAUGAACGACAACGCAUCGUCUGCAGCCACAUUAGAUUUACGUAAAAGCAGAUUAAAAUUUUAUUUGGUUAUACAGUUAAGUCAGAAAAUCUAUCGGAAUUACGAAUACUACUUGAAGAUGUUUAAGACAACUAUUAUUUAUACUAUUUUCAACGUAUGUGCUUGUAAUAUUAUUUUU